rnacentral:rRNA from 1 species
GACGAACGCUGGCGGCGUGCUUAACACAUGCAAGUCGAACGGAAAGGCCUUUUCGGAGGUACUCGAGUGGCGAACGGGUGAGUAACACGUGGGUGAUCUGCCCUGCACUCUGGGAUAAGCCUGGGAAACUGGGGCUAAUACCGGAUAGGACCGCACUUUAGUGUGUGUGGUGGAAAGUUUUUUCGGUGUAGGAUGAGCCCGCGGCCUAUCAGCUUGUUGGUGGGGUAAUGGCCUACCAAGGCGGCGACGGGUAGCCGGACUGAGAGGUUGGUCGGCCACAUUGGGACUGAGAUACGGCCCAGACUCCUACGGGAGGCAGCAGUGGGGAAUAUUGCACAAUGGGCGCAAGCCUGAUGCAGCGACGCCGCGUGGGGGAUGACGGCCUUCGGGUUGUAAACUCCUUUCGCCAGGGACGAAGCGUUUUGUGACGGUACCUGGAGAAGAAGCACCGGCUAACUACGUG